GACGAACGCUGGCGGCGUGCUUAACACAUGCAAGUCGAACGGAAAGGCCCUGCUUUUGUGGGGUGCUCGAGUGGCGAACGGGUGAGUAACACGUGAGUAACCUGCCCUUGACUUUGGGAUAACUUCAGGAAACUGGGGCUAAUACCGGAUAGGAGCUCCUGCUGCAUGGUGGGGGUUGGAAAGUUUCGGCGGUUGGGGAUGGACUCGCGGCUUAUCAGCUUGUUGGUGGGGUAGUGGCUUACCAAGGCUUUGACGGGUAGCCGGCCUGAGAGGGUGACCGGCCACAUUGGGACUGAGAUACGGCCCAGACUCCUCCGGGAGGCAGCAGUGGGGAAUAUUGCACAAUGGGCGGAAGCCUGCUGCAGCAACGCCGCGUGCGGGAUGACGGCCUUCGGGUUGUAAACCGCUUUCGCCUGUGACGAAGCGUGAGUGGCGGUAAUGGGUAAAGAAGCACCGGCUAACUACGUG
rnacentral:rRNA from 1 species